CAUGAAUGUUAAUAUAUGGAAAAUGUAGCCUUUUUAGUGUUGAAUUGACAAAGUUGCCCUUAAUAAUAUAUAUUGAUUAAUUAGUUUUUUUACUAAUUUUUGAAAAUUUCAGAAAAUAGCAAAAUCAAAAAAAGUUAAAACAAAAAAACAAACCUAGAUUUUGGGUUAAAUCAUAUUUGGGUAAAAAAAAGUUACAGUCUUCUUCCCCAAUUUACCACCGUCUCCGGCGGCUUUUUUUCCGGCGACCUCUUUCCGGCGGUCCCGUGAGGCGGUCUCCAAGGCCGUGUUGCUUCUGUUCCUCUCGUUUCCGAUGAGUCGAAAGUCCAUGAUUAUAUCCUAUGGAGGAUCAUGGGUAGAUAACAAAUAUGAAGGUGGGGAAAGAAGAUUUGCGCUUGUCCCAACGAAUGGUUAUACAUACGAUACUCUUAUGAGGCAGAUUGAAUGUAUUGUUCGUGCAGACAGGAAUACAUAUGAUUAUGUAUUGAACUCUUUGGUUGAGUCUUCUGAAGGGGAACUCAUAAUGAACAUAUCCAAUGAUGAUGA